GACGAACGCUGGCGGCGUGCCUAAUACAUGCAAGUCGAACGCUUUUUCUUUCACCGGAGCUUGCUCCACCGAAAGAAAAAGAGUGGCGAACGGGUGAGUAACACGUGGGUAACCUGCCCAUCAGAAGGGGAUAACACUUGGAAACAGGUGCUAAUACCGUAUAACACUAUUUUCCGCAUGGAAGAAAGUUGAAAGGCGCUUUUGCGUCACUGAUGGAUGGACCCGCGGUGCAUUAGCUAGUUGGUGAGGUAACGGCUCACCAAGGCAACGAUGCAUAGCCGACGUGGGAGGGUGAUCGGCCACACUGGGACGGAGACACGGCCCAGACUCCUACGGGAGGUAGCAGUAGGGAAUCUUCGGCAAUGGACGAAAGUCUGACCGAGCAACGCCGCGUGAGUGAAGAAGGUUUUCGGAUCGUAAAACUCUGUUGUUAGAGAAGAACAAGGAUGAGAGUAAAACGUUCAUCCCUUGACGGUAUCUAACCAGAAAGCCACGGCUAACUACGUGCCAGCCGCCGCGGUAA
rnacentral:rRNA from 1 species